ensembl:lncRNA
CUUAAUUAUCCCCAAAAUGCCCCAUCUCCAAACACAGUCACAGGAGGAGUAGGGCUUCAACAAAGGAAUUUUGUGGAACACGAUUCAGGCCUGAACAUCCGUCAGUACACCCUGCUCACACUCCAGUUCACCUCUUUGGCCUUCAUCCUGCCUCCAGACAUGCCUGUCAUCCUUCUCAGGACUCUUCUUUCUGCUCAUGGAAUGAGCAAGGUUUUAGUGACAACUAGUGGGUCAAAACACUGCAGCCUAAGAUCAUAUAUUUGUAUUUAAAAAGGAAUCUUCUGCAAAUGUUACUUUAUUCCAAGUUAAGUAAGGUAAAUAUUGAUACAGGUGGUGAUUUUAGCAGCACCUGAGUGAAAGACAUAAAGACUUCCAAUGCCGCACCAUCUGUGUCAUUCUGCUGCUGCUGCUACUGCUGCUAAGUCGCUUCAGUCGUGUCUGACUCUGUGCGACCCCGUAGGUGGCAGCCCACCAGGCUUACCCGUCCCUGGGAUUCUCCAGGCAAGAGCACUGGAGUGGGCUGCCAUUUCCUUCUCCAUUCUGUCAGAGGCUGCCUAACAGGGGUUGACUGCCAGCAAGUCAGUAUGCCCACAUUCAAAAGAGGAAUUACAAACAGAAUAUCUCCAGUUAAUUGGUCCUUAAUGAAAAGCAGACAGCACCUCGGUUAUUCUAAUUCAGUCUCAAGAAAUUCUAGUCAAAGAUGUUGUCAAGAUAGUUGAAUCCGAAGAUUUAAACAUAAAGUUUCAAAGCCACGUGAAGGAAGACUUUUCUUGACCCGGUGACCUGGAUGAGGGGAACUUGAAAAGUUGCUCCCAUCGGACUAAGAAUUGGUUUUCAUUGAAAUGGAGGAUCUUGGAAUUUUCUGGCAUCUGACAUCAAAGGAUGCUUUGAACCUUUGUUGUUCUUGCUACUGAUUCGCAGAGAUCGCCUUUGAAAUGGUAGUGUCCUGGUUUCCUUGAAAUUGUAUACCAGUACUACUGCUGGGGAGAAAAAAUUUUCUCUCUCCAUCUUAGCUGUUUCUGGCUGAUCUAACAAUUUUUAAACUGACACAAGCCAGUUUAACAGGAGAAAAUCAAAUUUUUAUUUUGUGUGUUUGGGAAACCCAAAGUGAUGGGGCUCGGAGAAGCGACCAAAGCAGGCAGCUUUUACCUUUUAGACUAUAUAUAUAUAUACAUAUAUAUUUAUAUUUGUGAAGAACGGACAGGCCGACAGGGCUUGGGGUAAUAAAUCAGUGAAGAAGCACCAAGAUCUGUUUAUACAGUCUUUGGGACACUAGGUUUUCUGCGUCUGUGUCAAGGAUGCCUUCUACCCUCUUGAUACAGGGAGGGUGCCUUUCCCGUGGGAGAUUUGCUUCUUGCUUUCAGGGAGACAAAGAACAGUCAGUGUGUCCUUCCUGUGCGGCUGUUACUUCAGGAGUUUUAAUUAAAAAUAAACAAUAUGCUACCUUGGUGUAUUGGGGGGCAGCCUGCCCUAAGUCCCAACACUACUAAUUCUCUGAUUAGGGCUUUGUUAAAAAUUAAUAAUCAUCAGCUUUCAACUCUGCCUGUGGACUGAUGCAGAAUUGUCAUCUUUGCCCUUGGAAAAGUAUUGUAUUAAGCUUAGAGUUAUGAAGUCCCACAUUUGUCAAAAGGGCUCCCUUUUCCCUCAGAAUCCAGAAACACGUUCACCACAGAGGAAUCUUUUUGUUCAAUUUACAAACACUUCGGCUAAGCAGGUAACAAUACCUGUGAUUGGAGACACACACAGCAUAUUUCUUAAAAUCAAAGCCAACAGGAACGUCUUAUUUGGAAGAAGAACACAGCGGCUGUUACUUGCCAGCAUCCAGAGGGUCUGUCUGUGCCCCUGUGUGGCCACGCACCGUAAUCACACUGCUGUCUCCUGUGCAGAGCCUCGUCCUUGUCCCGGGAGACCUGCAGUUACUGUUGUACUUUAUGAAUCCCAGGAACCAAAUGGAAACAGAUAAUUCCCAAACAAAAGGAAAAUUUCCGUAUAAUCGAUACAUUAUCUGAGACACUCAGGAAGAACUUGAUGACUUGGCUUAGGUCACUGGGGAGAUUUUAAGGAGACAAUAUGUUUACCUAGGGACUUCGAGAGCUGGAUUAUGUUGGGGUCAAAGGAGAGCAAGGGAAGGUUCUCUGUGACUUAGAACACUCAGGGGACUCUGUCCUACACCAUGUCUAUAGGGGACCAUCCUCACUGCUUUAGAAAAUUCACAUCAGUCAUCACAAGAAUGUAUUCGGGUUAAGUCUGUAUCUUUGAUAUGGAAAAAAAGCUCAAGCUUCCAUGAGAACGUUCUUGUUUACUGAGAUAAAGGUCAGUAUCACUCAUUUGCUGAGAUAAGUAUCACUAAUAUCUACCAACUCUUUGUGCACCCACAGGUCACUCUGCUAAUCUUGUAGAUCAGAGGAAUAAAGGGAAUUUGGGGGAAUGAAAAGCAACAUCCCUAGGCACCCUUGCAAACGGCAGACUCCUCCCAUUCCUCCGGCAGAGUCCUAACAGUGCGGCGAGAAGCCUGUUCCAGGCACUGUUUACCUGGAGGACUCCUGCCUGAGAAGGGCUUCGGCUCUAAUAACGUGCCUCUGCUGGAGUUCUUUCUGCAGUCGCUUUAAUCCUGACCCAGUGGUUCCAUUUGCUGCGGUGCGCAAGGGCAUUCGUACAGAGAGGCGCAUAUACUGCCAAUCAGCGCAAGGCACUGCGUCUGGACAUUUUAAAAACACAAAAACCCGGCUUCUGACCUCGGCUGGGACGCCGGAGGGGUGUGUGCGCGGUGAGCGGUUUAUUUACACAUCUUAAUCCGUUCUCCUGACACGAUGGCCUCCUCCUGUGUUGAAACUCAACCACAGAUACGGCGUAGAGCUUAUUUAUUUGUUGACCUGCAUCUCAGCUCUUUCCCAGAUUUCCCUGGAAACGUUCAUCCUAAGUUUCUAUAGGCGUGAUGGAUGCUCCAGGCUGUGUGCUUCCGCUGCCUUUGUCGAAACAGGCAUUUCCAUUGUGGUCGGAAAAUAUAUUAAAAGAUCAUACUUGUUGGACAGCUUUUUACACAGUAAUAAUUUUUUUCAAAGGUAGCUUUACAUCGGUUCCUGUUCAGAGAAAGGAGAUUUAUUCCAUUUAUGUGUAAAUAACAUCAUCUAAGCCCUUGAGUAUAUAGGGUGUAUCUGGAUGCUCUCGGCUAUAAUUCACAGAAUGUCUGACUGCACUGACUUACACUGUGUGGGCUGAUGAUUUUCUCACGUAACAAGUCCAGAGGCAUUCAGUAAUGUCAUCUAGGACCCGGUUUCCUUCCAUCUGGAGACUCUAUCAUCCCCCGUAAGUCAGGCUAAAGGACAGGGUUCAAAGGCCAGAGUGGGAAAUCGCAUCAAGGAGGGAGGCAGACGCGUACCUUCUCCUCCGCACAGAGGGAAGUCUCUUGGGAAAGCCCCCUCUCAUCACGUCCCGUAUGUUUCGUUGACCAUCAUUGAUCAUCGUCUAUCGCUUGCUGAAGACAAGGGCAGGUAUCCUCCCCUUUCUCUGGUUCUGACCCUGGCGCUGGGCGGCGCCCUGCUCUGGCUCCCGGCGGCCCAUCUCUCACUGAUGGCGCGUCCUCCUCCACGUGGUCUUUUGCUCAGUGAGACCCAGGCUGCGGUCCACCGUCUGGAGGAAAGAAGGGCAUUCUUUAGAGCUACUCUGUUUAGGAAGAGCAAGACCAUCCACACAAGACUCAUAUUCUCUGUGUCUCCAGUCCUCUUCGAGAAGACCAUUUAAUUCUUUGUAUCUCUGAAAAUGCCAUGGGAUUCACCAUUGUGGAUUGAUUACCCCUUUGUUCCAGGAAGUCAAGCGGGAAACAGCUUCUUGGCAACAUACCCGAUGGGUUUCCUUCUGAUUUCUUGUCCUGUUUGUUCAUUAAAGUUUCUCAGCCUCUUCUUUCCUGUCUGUACUUUAAAUACGACUGGCCUGUGGGCUUCUUUGUCCUGUGACAUAACUUCUCACGCUGCUCAUCUGCCCUGUGCGAUCUCAUCUGGUCUCUUGGCUGCAGGCAUAGCCUCAGUGAAUCGAUGACUUCCAAAUCUUGCUGUCAAGUCCUCUACUGAGCUCCAGAUCCAUAUAUCCAGUUAUAUACCGGCUGGGCUUUGUUGUUCUCGAUGUUAGAAAGGAAAGUUGCUUUUAAUCAAAUGCCAGUGAAUGGGGGUCGAUGGUGGACUCACUGCCCCUACAAAGCCACCUCCCAGGAUUCAGCUCUGGCUGAGCAUUUUUAUUGGUGAUCUGGUAGAUUCUUCAAACUCAGAUGUUCACAGACGGAACUAAUCUUUUCUCCUCCUCACACCAACCUUCCCCUAGUUGGCUUCGUUUCCUUUGCUUCUUUUUAGUCUUCUUAUUUAUUUGUUUUUGGCUGUGCUAGGACUCUGUUGCGGGAGAAGGCAGUGGCAUCCCACUCCAGUACUCUUGCCUGGAAAAUCCCAUGGGCGGAGGAGCCUGGUAGGCUGCAGUCCAUGGGGUCGCUAAGAGUCAGACACAACUGAGCAACUUCACUUUCACUUUUCACUUUCAUGCACUGGAGAAGGAAAUGGCUAACCCACUCCAGUGUUCUUGCCUGGAGAAUCCCAGGGACGGGGGAGCCUGGUGGGCUGCCAUCUAUGGGGUCACACAGAGUCGGACACGACUGAAGUGACUUGGCAGCAGGACCCCGUUGCAGCAUGCAGGCUUGCUCGAGUUGUGAGGGGCUGGGGCUGCUCUUGCUCAGAGCGUGCAGGCUUCCUUCUCAUGCGUGGCUUCUCUUGCUGUGGAGCACAGGCUCUAGGCAGGCAG